AUUGAACGCUGGCGGCAUGCUUUACACAUGCAAGUCGAACGGUAACAGGCCGCAAGGUGCUGACGAGUGGCGAACGGGUGAGUAAUGCAUCGGAACGUGCCCAGUCGUGGGGGAUAACUACUCGAAAGAGUAGCUAAUACCGCAUACGAUCUAUGGAUGAAAGCGGGGGACCGUAAGGCCUCGCGCGAUUGGAGCGGCCGAUGUCAGAUUAGGUAGUUGGUGGGGUAAAGGCUCACCAAGCCAACGAUCUGUAGCUGGUCUGAGAGGACGACCAGCCACACUGGGACUGAGACACGGCCCAGACUCCUACGGGAGGCAGCAGUGGGGAAUUUUGGACAAUGGGCGCAAGCCUGAUCCAGCAAUGCCGCGUGUAGGAAGAAGGCCUUCGGGUUGUAAAAUGCUUUUGUACGGAACGAAACGGCUCUGGUUAAUACCCGGGGCUAAUGACGGUACCGGAAGAAUAAGCACCGGCUAACUACGUG
rnacentral:rRNA from 1 species